rnacentral:lncRNA from 1 species
GCUUCUCACCCCCAAUUCUGCCACUAUGCGGAAGCAGGUGACUAAACUUGCAUCCUUCCUAUAACUUAGCUUUUAUCCUUCUGUAUUAGGUUCAACUUACAAUGGUAAUCACGUCAGUUUGGCAGUCUGAGAUUUUAUCCAGGGUCAGCCCUUUUCUAUUUGGAGUUGAAUCCUUUCUUUCAUGUAGAAAUAUACAUGUGUAUACAAGAAAUGUAUUUUUAUCUGCAGGAUAAUAUUGUCUCAAAUAAUUUUAUUAAUAGUUUCCCUUUUAAGGGUGGUUUUGAAAUAUUAAUUGCAUUUUUAACAUGAUGCAUUCAGUGAAUACUUUUUUCCUUAUUAAUAACUCAUCUCUGAAUGCAUUGUACAAAUCAAAAGUAAGAUAGGAUUCAGUGAACAGAAUUUGGUUUUGAUGCUUAUUAAGAGUAAAUCCAUGAAUUAGAAUUUUGCUAUCAUACUUGAUACUUGGAAUUGGUACAUACUUUAUUACAGCUUGAAAAUGCUUAGCAUUUGGAUCUUAAGUUUCAUCACAAACUAUGUCUUUUAUCUCUUCUGUUAAUCAAGUUCAGUCAAAGGGACUGGAUACCCAUAGGAGUUUUUCCUAAUUGAUGGUUUGGAUUUUUAGUGUGUUUCAAUGUGAUUAUAGUAAUUUCAGUAAUAAAUGAAAUUUAUACAAGUUUCAGAGAACU